ACAAGGCCAUAGCAGCAGUCAACUCUGUGCCCGACAAUCAGUUUUCCACAAAUUUUCUUUCUUGGAAAACUCGGCAUUAUGAUAUAAUUAAGGAUGCACUGCGUCUGGCUGAAGACGUUAAACUUAGCGCUUGUUGGGAGGCAACCCAAUUUCCAUAGAUUAUUUUUGCACAUUUUCUUGUCAUAUUUUUUUCAGGAGUUCUCAUGUUACUGAUGCAACUAAGGUACAAUGCUUCUAUCCUCCAUAUGCAUCAUAUUUUCGUUCAAAAUAAAAAUAAUAAAAAAA
rnacentral:lncRNA from 1 species